rnacentral:rRNA from 1 species
UACGGACGGGGCGAGCGUUGUUCGGAAUCACUGGGCGUAAAGCGCACGCAGGCGGAUUGAUAAGUCAGGGGUGAAAUCCCGGGGCUCAACCUCGGAAUUGCCUUUGAUACUGUCUGUCUUGAGUCCGGGAGAGGUGAGUGGAAUUCCUAGUGUAGAGGUGAAAUUCGUAGAUAUUAGGAAGAACACCAGUGGCGAAGGCGGCUCACUGGCCCGGUACUGACGCUCAUGUGCGAAAGCGUGGGGAGCAAACAGG